CAGCCAGACUGGAACUGAGACACGGUCCAGACUCCUACGGGAGGCAGCAGUAAGGAAUCUUCCACAAUGGGGGCAACCCUGAUGGAGCAACGCCGCGUGAAGGAUGAAGGCCCUAGGGUCGUAAACUUCUUUUGUUAGCGAAGAAUAUGACGGUAACUAACGAAUAAGGGUCGGCUAACUACGUGCCAGCAGCCGCGGUCAUACGUAGGACCCAAGCGUUAUCCGGAGUGACUGGGCGUAAAGAGUUGCGUAGGUGGUCAGUAAAGCGAAUGGUGAAAUCUGGGGGCUCAACCUCACAGACUAUUAUUCGAACUCACUGACUCGAGAACAGCAGAGGUAACUGGAAUUUCUGAAGUAGGGGUAAUAUCCGUAGAUAUCAGAAGGAACACCAAUGGCGUAGGCAGGUUACUGGGCUGUUUCUGACACUGAGGCACGAAAGCGUGGGGAGCGAACCGGAUUAGAUACCCGGGUAGUCCACGCCGUAAACGAUGGAUACUAGCUGUUGGAGGUAUCGACCCCUUCAGUAGCGAAGCUAACGCGUUAAGUAUCCCGCCUGUGGAGUACGGUCGCAAGACUAAAACAUAAAGGAAUUGACGGGGACCCGCACAAGCGGUGGAUUAUGUUCUUUAAUUCGAUGCUAACCGAAGAACCUUACCAGGGUUUGACAUCCCGAGAAUUACUACGAAAGUAGUGAGUGCUUUAUUGAACUCGGUGACAGAUGUUGCAUGGCCGUCGUCAGCUCGUGUCGUGAGAUGUUUGGUUAAGUCCAUCAACGAGCGCAACCCUU
rnacentral:rRNA from 1 species